UACGAAGGGGGCUAGCGUUGUUCGGAAUCACUGGGCGUAAAGCGCACGUAGGCGGAUCUUUAAGUCAGAGGUGAAAUCCCAAGGCUCAACCUUGGAACUGCCUUUGAUACUGGGGAUCUUGAGUCCGGGAGAGGUGAGUGGAACUGCGAGUGUAGAGGUGAAAUUCGUAGAUAUUCGCAAGAACACCAGUGGCGAAGGCGGCUCACUGGCCCGGUACUGACGCUGAGGUGCGAAAGCGU
rnacentral:rRNA from 1 species